rnacentral:rRNA from 1 species
UAGGGAAUCUUCGGCAAUGGGGGCAACCCUGACCGAGCAACGCCGCGUGAGUGAAGAAGGGUUUCGGAUCGUAAAGCUCUGUUGUAAGAGAAGAACGUGUGUGAGAGUGGAAAGUUCACACAGUGACGGUAACUUACCAGAAAGGGACGGCUAACUACGUGCCAGCAGCCGCGGUAAUACGUAGGUCCCGAGCGUUGUCCGGAUUUAUUGGGCGUAAAGCGAGCGCAGGCGGUUUAAUAAGUCUGAAGUUAAAGGCAGUGGCUUACCCCUUGUUCGCUUUGGAAACUGUUAAACUUGAGUGCAGAAGGCGAGCGUGGAAUUCCAUGUGUAGCGGUGAAAUGCGUAGAUAUAUGGAGGAACACCGGUGGCGAAAGCGGCUCUCUUGUCUGUAACUGACGCUGAGGCUCGACAGCGUGGGGAGCAAACAGG